rnacentral:lncRNA from 10 species
UGUGUGUGUGUGUGUGUGUGUGUCUUUCUUGAACCCGCCUCCCAGUUCUCUGGAUCAAGUACUUGAAGUGCUCUUUUUUACUUUUCAGAACUGAAUAAAGAUUUCCCUCGGGGAGAAAUAAACGUGAGCUUCAAAGUUUUUCAAGGUUUAGACCCAACUUAAAGAACACAGGCCACCCUAGAAAAACGAGUUUUUCAACUUGUAGAAGGAAAAUUCAACUGGCCUGCCUGUGAGAAAGAAUGUUAUAUCCUAUUUGAGCUUUGAAUGUUUUUUUGUUUUUUGUGGGGUGUGUGUGUGUGUGUGUGUGUGUGUGUGUGUGAAAGGUCAGCCUUAAAAGCAGCAUUUCAGAAAACAGAAGUGAAAGGUCCUGCUUGUUCCCUUUCAUGUAAAUAGGGAUCACGAUGUGUGAGUAGCUGACGCUUCUCUUCCAUGCGGUUCAGGGCAUUUUCACUCAAGUUUUGAAGAAGCUUCACCAAUCCCUCAUACUCGUGAACUGGGCUGAUUUGGGAGAGUGAUAGUGGGUGAUAGAAUUACUGAGUAGAAUUCAAGUUUUUCCAAGGUAAUGCCUCAUUUUGACUCUUCUGUGCAGGGGAGCUUGGAAGACCUGCUUCCUCAGGGAUGCCCGGGUUUUCUACGGCCCCUGGCGUUAAUUGCCUGACCUGUGUUUUCAGUGUUCCUUUCAACCUGGUGUAACUUAUCAGGGUUGGUUUUUCUUAUGGUCAGGGCCGAGUCACAGCAGGAAGAGGACACAUAGGCAUAGGACUCUGUAACUGAAACUCAGAGAAGCUGGCAGGAGCUCCCUUCACUCCCUUACCCGGCACCCACAAGGCCUGUGGCUUCCCCGUGGUGAGCCUGGGCUCUGUGCGUUCUUGCCUCAGCACAGACAUCCUGGAGGGCGGCCAUGCUGGGGCCCGCAGGGGCGUGUGGCUUGCGUAUGUUUCCACUUGGCCUUGACUUGUCUUUUCGGAUAUUUAUCACACGGUGGAGACCCAUUGUGUCCGGGAGUGGAAAUCAGGGAGGCAGGACGUUAGUGGUGUUUCCUGAAACUGGUUCUUUAAAGGGAAGGGGAAUUUCCCUUACAUAAGCCCGCAGCGACUUUCUCCACAGGGUGGGGCAUCCUGUGUUCUGGAGUCUGGGCGCUGGGCGGGAACCUGGGAGCUUUCUCCAGUGGAGCUGAGGCCAAGUCUUGGCUCACAACAUUUCUCCCGGGGAAUCUGCUCCAUCUUCGGUCAUCAUUUACGUUUCUCCGUCACAGUGAAUUAUUUCCAGUGUUCCUGUUCCUCAAGUUUUGUUUUUUUUCGGAGGAAACAGUCGCUCAAGGUUUUAAUCUUCCAUCUUAGGGGAAUGUCCACAGCCCUAAUUAAAAUGGCCGUGGCCGGGCUUGGUGGCUCACGCCUGUAAUCCCAACACUUUGGGAGGCCGAUGCGGGCGGAUCACAAGGUCAGCAGUCUGAGACCAGCCUGGCCAAUAUGGCGAAACCCCAUCUCUACUAAAAAUACAACAAAAUUAGCUGGGCGUGGUGGCGGGCACCUGUACUCCCAGCUUCUCCGGAGGCUGAGGCAGGAGAAUUGCUUGAUCUUGGGAGGCGGAGGUUGCAGUGAGCCGAGAUCACACCACUGCACUCCAGCCUGGGCGACAGAGUGAGACUCCAUCUCAAAAAUAAUAAUAAUAAUGGCUGUAAGGAGCGUGCGUUUCUGAGCCAGUGCUCGCAGGCGUGCAUACGGGGCCUUCUCCUAGCUGCCAUCUGUUACACGGGUCUGUCAUCUCCCCACUUGGAUUUGAGGACUCUUGUCUUUCCUGGGGACACAUGAUUGGAUUACUUCAUCCAGCUUGCUCAGCCUCUGCUCUUCUGAGGAAAGAAGUUGCCUCAGGAAGCGGGGAAGGAGGGGGAGCAGCGCUGUAGCUGGAACAUAACCUGAUGGCCCCCUCGUGUCUCAGAUCAUCGGGCACCAGUACUAGUGGCGGCUGUCCUUGUAGCACUUGGCGCAGAACGAAGAGGAAUACCAUUUCUGCUCUGGCUCUGACACAGCCAGCAUUUGGCCAGGCGCCUACUGUAUGCGUCAGUCAGGUGCUGCCCUUAGCACUUUCCCCAUGUUAACUCGUUCCAACCUUCACAAUGACCCUGUGAGGUAGAGACUUAUUAGUGAGGUGUUGUUAGACCCACAACCUGAACUGUCAGCCCAGAGAAAAGAAGACUGAGCUAAGCCAGAGCUGGUAGAACCAAGACCACAGUGCUCUGAAGCUUUAACACGGUCUGGCUGACCCCAGGACUGACCUUCCCCCUGCCUCAUCUCCAUUCAGCUGCCUUGAUAUCUUGAGCUGAGAAGGAGGUGUGUGUUCAGGAUCUCAGUGGCAUCCUGCGCUGUGUAACAAGUGGAUGUGUGAGUGUGAACACACUGCAUAGGAAAAGGGAGAGAAGCCAGGAGCUCACGCUGGAUCUGAACCUGUCAGGACAACUGAUUGAAAAAAAUCAGUCAGUGAUUUAGGUAUGGGACUCUGAACCACUGGUUUUGUUUCCACCAUUUGUUUUCCUCCAAAUGGAAUGAUUUCAUCUUGCUAAUAUUAAUAGGUAACCAACUAUAAGGUUGUCCAGGCAGUGUGCUAAGUUUUCAAGUUGCGUUCUCAUCAAAUCCUUGCAGCAAUUCUACCAGGCAAUGUCUUCAUUGUACAAAGAAGAAAACAGAGGCUUAAAGAGUUAAGUACUUGUACAAAUCGCAGCUGGAUAUUUGAAUUCUGACACAUCUCUCCAGAGGCCACACUCUCAGACUACACUAACUGUCCCCCACCUAGAUUCUUUUCCUGCACUUCUCUGUGGGCUGAGGAAUGAUGGUCAUGGAACCAGUGCCAGCUGAGAGGGCAUCUCAUGUGUGUAAGCUGUUGCCCCAGUCGUGGGCUUUCAGAGAAAGGACUGGAUACCCAGUGUCAUGUCCACUCAACAGCCAUGCAAGGCUGGGUUCUUGAAGCCACAGCUCUUCACUGACUCCUUGAGCAUCCAUGUGACUCUAGAGUUUAGCUAUGCAAGUGCAAGCUUUGCUCUCAAAUACAUGUGCAAUGUAAUUAGAGGAUAGCUGAUGCCUGAUUCACUGGCCUUACAAAUCUGUAGCUGCCUGGAUUUCAACUGUCAAUACAUGCUGAAGUCCUUUUCGGAUCAAAUUUAAGUUCAGAUAAAGAGUGUGUGGUGGGGACACAAUAAAUAUUUGGAAGGAAGAAAAGAUGGAAGGAAAGAAGUAAGGAAGGAGGAAAGGUAGGGCAGAAGGACCCUCCAAACAGCUGGGUACUCUGUAGCCUCAGAAGGUUGGCAAGAUAAAUCACAGCUCAGCAUAAAGCCUAUGUCGGUGUCUGGUGUUUAAAAAGUGGGGAGGAGAGGCUCAGCCCACAGCCUCUGUGGACAGGUUUUCUUUCAUCUGCUUUCUAGCCAAAGGAUGUGAAGACAAGCUACAGGAACUGAUGGGCUGCAGCUGAGAUAGGUCAGAUUUUCACUCUAGCCCCCUGAACUGGCCACAGGGCCCCUUCGUUCCCUGACUUCCAUCAUUGCUCUUUCCUGUGAUGUCUGACCUCCCCUGUGUCACUGCAUCUGACUCUUGCUGCCUCCUCAGCACCUGCGGCCCCAUCUCCUCCAAGUUCUGAACUGCACAGGCAUCUUCUGAGGUACAGCCAUGUUUGGGUGCCCAGCCGGCUCUUCCUGCAGGUCUUCCUGCUCUCCUGAUGUCCCUCAGCUCACAACCUCUCUUUUCUAGCAGAGCAUAGAAAGACAGGAGCUGACUUCUGGAUGCCUGGUCAUCAUUUCCUUCUUUAGUUCCAUUUUACAAGCCCAGGUGCUGUAUGAAAAACAGGGCAUGCUAACCCUGUCUUCCAUCCACUAGGGCGGAGCUGACGGUUAAAACAAGGCUCUUUCCCAUGCCAGCAAUUAGACCUCCAUUUCUCAGAAGAGGAAAGAGGGGAAGCGUGAACAGACAGAAGGGCUCAUUUUCUGUUUGUCAAAGGAAUAAAUGGAUUAAGGAUCCUUGCAUUUCAAGAUGCAUUUCAAGAUUUCAGAGAUGGAGUCUUGAUAAGACAGUGAGAACUGACUGAGAGGGAGCUGCACCCAAUCACGGGGCCACGCACCCAGGGACAGUUGCACCUAUAUGGAUUGUUUCCCAGCCAAAUGAUGUUCUGACCAUUAACUCAGGCAUCUGGGAUUCCCCAAAGAAACAGAUGAGUAGCAUCACUUGGGGGACUUUAUUUUUAAAAAUAAAAAUUCAGUUCCUUAAAUAGGCAUUUGGUGACCUCAUGUUUUUUUAGUGAAACAUGUUGGUAAGAGAUGCAAUAUUUUGAACAGGAAAGACAGUAUGAUAAAAGCAUUCUUGGGCCAGGUGUGGUAGCUCACACCUGUAAUCCCAACAGUUUGGGAGGCCAAGGCGGACAGACCACUUGAGGUCAGCAGUUCAAGACCAGCCUGGCCAAAAUGGCACAACACCAUCUCUACUUAAAAAAAAAAUUAGCUAGGCCUGGUGGUGCACGCCUGUAAUACCAGCUACUUGGGUGGCUGAGGCACGAGAAUCACUUGAACUUGGGAGGUGGAGGUUGCAGUGAGCUGAGAUCAUGCCCAUGUACUCCGUCGAGGGAGGGAGACCGUUGGACCAUGGGGGCGGUUUCUCCCAUGCUGUGGUCAUUGAGUUCUCAGGAAAUCUGAUGGUUUUGUAAGUGUUUGGAAGUUCCUCCUUGCUCCACUCUCCUGCUGACUUGUGAAAAAUGUGCCUGCUUCCCCUUCCACCAUGACUGUAAGUUUCCUGAGGCCUCACCAGCCAUGCAGAACUGUAAGUCAAUUAAACCUCUUUCCUUUAUAAAUAACCCAGUCUCGAGUAGCAUCUUUAUAGCAGUGUGAAAGCAGACUAAUACAAUCCCUAUUUUAAGGUCAGCUGAUUAGCAACUUUAAUCCCCCUUUGCCAUGUAAUGUUAAACAUAUUUGUAGUUUCUGUGGAUUAGGAUGUGGACAUCUUUGGGAGACCAUUAUUCUGCCUACCACAGUUGCCAAAAACAAAAAAACAAUGAAGCUAUCCACUGCAACAUCCUUAGUCUGCUUAUUUAUUGGCAUCACUAUGAUUUGCUUAUAAAUUGAAAUGUUUUCUCCAGAUUUUUACCUUUUAUCAAUUACACCAAAUGAAAUAUUUCCCUCAGUCUGCUGUUUUGUUUUUGUAUGAAAUUUAUGUUUCAGUAUUAAGGUCUGUUCAUUUCCUUGUGGUUUUAUUUCUUCAAAACUGAGGACAUGAAUCUUCUUUCACAGAUCUGAUAACACAUUUAUUUUGUGCUUUUUAAUACCAUGUUUAAAUUUAAAUAAAUUCUUCUGAAAUUUGUUUUGAUGUCUUUUAUAAGGGGUACCUCUACCAAUUGUUUUCCCUGAUCUCUAGCCGGUUAUCCUAAUACUAUUUACCUAAUACUAUUUAGUAAACAAUCUCCAUUUGACCUCUUUUCCUUUUUUUUUUUUUUUUUUUUGAGAUGGAGUCUCGCUCUGUCGCCCAGGUUGGAGUGCAAUGGCAUGAUCUCAGCUCACUGCAAGCUCCGCCUCCCAAGUUCAAACGAUUCUUCUGUCUCAGCCUCCUGAGUAACUGCGACUAUAGG